GACGAACGCUGGCGGCGUGCCUAACACAUGCAAGUCGAACGCAGUGGCGGACGGGUGCGUAACACGUGGGUGACCUGCCCGGCACUUCGGGAUAAGCCUUGGCAACUGGGUCUAAUCCCGGAUAGUGUGGGCUGGGGCUGGGGCCUAGUGGCUUGUUGGGGGGGUAAUGGCCUACCAAGGCGGCGACGGGUAGCCGGCCUGGGAGGGUGGACAGGCACAAUGGUACUGAGGGAGGGCCCAGACGGCUACGGGGGGCAGCAGGGGGGAGUAUUGCACAAUGAGGGGAAGUGUGAUGCGGAGGCGCGGGGUGGGGGAUGAAGGCUUUGGGGUUGUAAACUCCUUGCACCAACGACGCGGUAGAUGGAGAAGAAGCACCGGCUAACUACGUGCCAGCAGCCGCGGUAAUUC
rnacentral:rRNA from 1 species